GACAGAAAACAUGCUAGCCUCACGCUAGUUCCAAGUCCAACCCGCAAAAUGUUACCAUAUACCAAGAUUAAUGUUAGACCCAGGCAUACCAUGGCUCAACAACUACAAGUCGAACAAUGUGAAAAUACACCACAAAACUGACCAGGCGUGAUAGGAAGUCGCCACCUACACCGGCUCAAAGUCAUGAAGCCGAAGCUGCACAGAGACAUAAAAAUAAGGAUUCAAACCUCAACAGAAAGGUGACAGAAAUGUGGGCCGAGGGCGAUGGUGACGACAUGGCGGCCAAAGCGAGACCACACAACGACGACCGACGCAAAGAGAACUCAACUCCAUGGUCAAUAAAAGGAAGUGGCAUUGCAAACUCUCUGAUCAAAUCAAAACGUUGAUAUCACUAUUGGAUUGCGAACUUUCAAAAUAAAUUAAAGGCGACAGGACCUAAUGUAACUGGACGGACGCAUUGACGGAAGAGGCCUAUACAGAUGAUCUUUUUUUUAAAUGUUGAUCUCAGACUGAAGAUCAAUGUUCCGUUGUGGUAAUGGUAAUAUGGUAAUUCGAUUAUCAAUUCUGCACAUGUAGGCUAUGUAGAAUAUUAUUCUGCAAAGGCAAUUAAUAAACUAUUUGUAAUAUCACCCAAUUUAAAUGUUUAGUAUAAUCUACCCAUGUACUUUGAGCAUGACCUGAAGUUUUGGAAUAGUUUAAGCAAUAUGCUAUUUCUUUUGGAUAUCCGAACCAUUCCAUGUUGGUCCACAGGAUUAUUUGAAUGUCUCUCUACGGGAGUCAUGGUCGAGGUAUCCAGAAAUAAACUUCCUUGCAAUGA